CACAUAUUCCUACGCCGAGUAACCGGAGCGCCAUUGUAAUGGCUGAAAGAAAGGUUGUAUGGACUGAAGCUCACAGUUAUUUACGGAAUUCCGGACAAUAGCGGAGUAUUUUCCGCUGUUGCUGGCCAUGGCUGAUUACGCCGAGGAAAUCGACAAAGAAGUGUCUCGGUAUAAUGAAGAUCUGAACUUGUUUGAGGUCCCACACCCUCAGAGUUACUGGCGAGAAGUGACAGCCAAGCGGUCGGAUACCACUGCAGGAGAUGCGUUUCGUAGCAAACAAAGUGUGUAUAUGUCUCACGUUCACCAAAAACAAAGUCAACUUCGAUACUCGCCAAAGACAAUGUUUUACUCUAACACCGAGCGAUCGGCUAGCAUUUCGUCAACGUCACACGACGGUAAACCGCCGAUACCAGCAUCAAUGAUGCUCCCCCAGCAUCCGAUCGCCAUCGGGAUUCCUCACCCCCAGGGAAAGCUGAGCCCCCCGGGGAACGAAAACAGGGGGAUAUACAUUGGAAAUACACGUUACCCUGCACCUAAAGCAGCUAUGAUGAACAAUUCUGUGAGCCAGAGUCAGUCCUUUGGAAGUAUGCAACACACAGUUUAUGCCAAUCUUCCCAUUGUGAACAAUGUGAAUGUCUCCAGGCCUGGAACAAACUCGAACUAUUCCAGUCCACGAUCAAGUGUUGGGAGUGGGGGUGAGUCAAAGAGCUCCAGCCCUCGGGCAAGUCUCACCUAUCCACCUCCACCAUAUGAUCAACGAUUUGGCAGCCCAAGAUCAAGUAUUGCAAGUCCCAGAUCAAGCCUAAGUGCAAAUUCGUUGGAAUCCAAACAUUCAAGUCCCAGGACUAGUCUUACCGGAGUACUUCUGGAUAAGUUUCCCAGCCCACGGACAAGUCUAUCCUCCCCUCAGGAUCGCAUACCAAUUCAGCGUAUUGUGGGUAAUAAUACCGGAUAUAGUGACCAGGAAUUGUAUAAUUUAUCUAUGUCUGGCCAUAGUGCUCAUCAGUAUCCCCAGAGCUAUACUAGCCUUGGACCAAGAAGCGUUUCCUUGUUAAGUGACAACCGUUUUAAUGAGCCGGCACCCCCAAUAUAUACCGAUCCUCGUCUUCGAACCCUGCCACCCCAGGUGCAGGCUAGUGUGCACACCAUGGGCUAUGCCAACCCUGUCCCUACAUCACGAUCUAACCAGUCAGUGAGCAUAAAUUCCACCCAGAAUGGAAACCAUGUGAUUUCGAAUUCCCUCCCGAUUAAUAGUACUGCAGUAGUGAACAGCUUGUCCCAACCUAACGUGACCGGUCCCAGCCACCUGGGCCAGACCCCCCCAGUGAUACCUGCACGGGUCCCCCUCCACUAUGAGACGGUACCCUCCAGGUCGGCAGGGCCCUCUGAUGCUGAAAAGAAGAUAGCUGCUUUAACCCAGCAGCUUGAACGUGAAAUGCAAAUUUCAGGAUCUGUGUCUAAAAAGUCCCCUGACUCUCCCUCCGGCAAGAUGCCCCUUCCCCCACCCUACCAUGGCCCCCAUGAUGUAGAGGUCUUCCCUGGAUCAUACACCCAGAGGAAUGCCGUGCGACUAGUGGCCCCAAUACAGGGGGUACAGGUCCAACGGUCAGGCAGUGUACCCAUCACUCCACCCACCCAGCCUGGCUCCCCGGGGAUUAAACCUCACCUUCACUACCAGGUUACCCCACCUAAAUCCAAGGGGCCAUCAGAGGCCGAGAAGAAGUUGUCAGCUUUAACACAACAACUUGAAGAGGAAAUGGAAAAGUCACCCGUUGGUGAAUAUUUUGGUCAGUGCUAUACCUGUGGGGAGAAGGUGACAGGUGCUAACGAUGCGUGUCAGGCGAUGGGCAAUCUCUACCACACCAAGUGCUUUGUCUGCUGCUCUUGUGGGAGGACGUUACGAGGGAAAGCGUUCUACAACGUCCACGGGAAGGUCUACUGUGAAGAGGACUAUUUGUAUUCAGGUUUUCAGCAGACUGCAGAGAAGUGUGUCGUGUGUGGUCAUCUCAUUAUGGAAAUGAUCUUGCAGGCCAUGGGGAAGUCAUAUCACCCGGGUUGUUUUCGAUGUUGUAUUUGUAACGAGUGUCUGGAUGGCGUUCCCUUCACGAUCGACGUUGACAACAAGAUAUAUUGUGUGGCAGAUUAUCACAGAGUGUACGCUCCCAAGUGUGCCGCGUGCGGACAUGCUAUCACCCCAGUUGAUGGCACAGAGGAGACUGUACGGGUCGUCUCCAUGGAUAAGGACUUCCAUGUCGACUGUUAUCAUUGUGAGGACUGUGGUAUCCAGCUGACGGACGAACCUGACAAGCGAUGUUAUCCACUUGAGGAGCACUUGUUUUGCCGAGGCUGUCACAUAGCAAGGCUCAACAUCCAGUUCCCUGAUGAUCAGUUUUACAUAGACCCACUCACGUUCAACAUCCAGAAAAAGUCGGAUCGGCACGGAGGUGGGGGGAUCAUCACAGUUGCCCCAUCCAGCUAUGCUGCUGUUGCUAUCAACACAGGGUCAAUACCCAUCAUAAACUCUGACAGGAAUAGGGGAGGGGAGGACAUGCAAAAUGGAGGCCAUAAUUUUGAUUACCAAUAUGGUGGCCCCCUUCCCUAUGCUUCCCCGAACAAACUGACUCAUGGCCCACCGAAGCCGGGAACCAAAUAUCACAUCACUGACUUAUAGUUUGUCAUGGACAUAGUUUUAGUGCAAAUAUAUAUAUAUUUAUUUUCUUAUAUCGUGUGAUCGCCAUUGAACAAUUUGGUGUUGAGAGAACUGAGAGGUUGAUGUAUCAGGUGAUAAAGGGAGGUCACUCUCAGGUGAUAAAGGGAGAUCACUCUGCAGCUGACUGAGUGCAUUUUUGGACAACAUAGUUGAUUCUGAUGCCACAGGAUUCCCUGUAUGGACAAGGAGUGUGGUUAACCUCGUGAGGCUGAGCUAGUGUCAUGGUGGGGACUCACAUUGGUUUUUAUCAACAGUUGUGUUUGCAGACUGUCUCAAAACUUUGUUUCCCUGAAACAGCAUAUUUCAGCGUAUAUGUAUAGAUGAGCCACGCUGUCUCCAGAGUGAAUGUGAUGUUACUUUUGUUUUCUAAUUUCAGGUGGUUGUGCUUGCUCUUCAGUUCUAGGGUUAUUUUGAUGGAAAUUUUGCUUGUAGAUUUCCAAUAGCCACGUCUUUCAUUUCAACCCAAACUUUCAUCAAUUUCAUCCAUUUUCAUAUCCCAAGAAUCUCUUUCCUUUGUAUCGAAAAGUGAUGUGUCAUAUGUUUUGUGAAUGAAAGUACAUUAAGAAGAAAUUAUUUAUUAAGAUUAAUUUAAAUAUAUAUUGUUUAUGUAGCUUGAGAUGUGGCCUCAGUUGAGAGAAUGCUGUGUAUGACAUAUUGUGACUUGGGCCUGUUGAUGUAACAACAGCUGUCAAUAACACAUAACCACCUGUGUAGAUGACAGGAUCGUCAGCUAAUGUUAUUUUAGUAUGGGAUCAACCAUUUAGUAUUCUGGAGGGGAUGGAAGACAAAAUAUAUAUUUUUUGGGCUCUAUCUACAAUUAUUGUCUCUGAAGAAUGGAGCCAAAUGACAGUUUGUAACACAACAUAGUUUUUCAAAACAAUUGGAAACUUUUUUUGAAAUUAUAUUUUUAUGAAGCUUUUGGAACAAAUACAUAUAUUAUUUUUAUGUCCAAGGGCCAACAUGGUGUGGUUGUGUCUAUCAUGAUGACCACAGUCAGAGGGGAGGUUGGUGUUGCCUGACCACCUGUUGCCCACCU
rnacentral:misc_RNA from 1 species